CCUACGGGAGGCAGCAGUGAGGAAUAUUGGUCAAUGGGAGAGAUCCUGAACCAGCCAAGCCGCGUGAGGGAAGACGGCCCUAUGGGUUGUAAACCUCUUUUGUCGGAGAACAAAACCCGGGACGUGUCCCGGACUGCGUGUAUCCGAAGAAAAAGCAUCGGCUAACUCCGUGCCAGCAGCCGCGGUAAUACGGAGGAUGCGGGCGUUAUCCGGAUUUAUUGGGGUUAAAGGGUGGGUAGGGGGUCCGUUAAGUCAGCGGUAAAAUUGCGGGGCUCAACCCCGUCGAGCCGUUGAAACUGGCAGACUGGAGUGGGCGAGAAGUACGCGGAAUGCGCGGUGUAGCGGUGAAAUGCAUAGAUAUCGCGCAGAACUCCGAUUGCGAAGGCAGCGUACCGGCGCCAGACUGACGCUGAGGCACGAAAGCGUGGGGAUCGAACAGGAUUAGAUACCCUUGUAGUC
rnacentral:rRNA from 1 species